rnacentral:rRNA from 1 species
CAGCCGCCGCGGUAAUACAGAGGGUGCAAGCGUUAAUCGGAAUUACUGGGCGUAAAGGGCGCGUAGGUGGUUGCGUAAGUGAGAUGUGAAAUCCCCGGGCUUAACCUGGGAACUGCAUUUGUGACUGGCGGGCUAGAGUAUGGCAGAGGGGGGUAGAAUUCCACGUGUAGCAGUGAAAUGCGUAGAUAUCAGGAGGAACACCGGUGGUGUAGACGGCUUUCUGGACCGUAACUGACGCUGAAACACGAAAGCGUGGGUAGCAAACAGGAUUAGAUACCCCCGUAGUCCCUGUCUCUUAUAC